rnacentral:rRNA from 1 species
GACGAACGCUGGCGGCGUGCUUAACACAUGCAAGUCGAACGGUGAAGGGAUCAGCUUGCUGGUUCUGGAUGAGUGGCGAACGGGUGAGUAACACGUGAGUAACCUGCCCCCUUCUUCUGGAUAACCGCAUGAAAGUGUGGCUAAUACGGGAUAUUCUGGGUCUGUCGCAUGGCGGGUCUGGGAAAGAUGCGCCUUUGGGUGUUUUUGGUGGGGGAUGGGCUCGCGGCCUAUCAGCUUGUUGGUGGGGUGAUGGCCUACCAAGGCGGUGACGGGUAGCCGGCCUGAGAGGGUGGACGGUCACACUGGGACUGAGACACGGCCCAGACUCCUACGGGAGGCAGCAGUGGGGAAUAUUGCACAAUGGGCGCAAGCCUGAUGCAGCGACGCCGCGUGAGGGAUGGAGGCCUUCGGGUUGUAAACCUCUUUCGCCAGUGAAGCAGGCCUGUCCCUUGUGGGUGGGUUGACGGUAGCUGGAUAAGAAGCGCCGGCUAACUACGUGCCAGCAGCCGCGGUAAUACGUAGGGCGCGAGCGUUGUCCGGAAUUAUUGGGCGUAAAGAGCUCGUAGGCGGCUGGUCGCGUCUGUCGUGAAAUCCUCUGGCUUAACUGGGGGCUUGCGGUGGGUACGGGCCGGCUUGAGUGCGGUAGGGGAGACUGGAACUCCUGGUGUAGCGGUGGAAUGCGCAGAUAUCAGAAGAACACCGGUGGCGAAGGCGGGUCUCUGGGCCGUUACUGACGCUGAGGAGCGAAAGCGUGGGGAGCGAACAGG